rfam:Triticum aestivum genome assembly, contig: Triticum_aestivum_CS42_TGACv1_scaffold_221573_3B
CAAAUACUCCCUCCGUUCGGAAUUAUUUGUACAAAAAUAGAUGUAUCUAGACGUAUUUUAGUUUUAGAUACAUUCAUUUUCAAAACAAGUAAUUUCGAACGGAGGGAGUACGUC